rnacentral:rRNA from 1 species
UACGUAGGGUGCAAGCGUUAAUCGGAAUUACUGGGCGUAAAGCGUGCGCAGGCGGUUUUUCAAGACAGAUGUGAAAUCCCCGGGCUUAACCUGGGAAUGGCAUUUGUGACUGGAAGGCUAGAGUGUGUCAGAGGGGGGUAGAAUUCCACGUGUAGCAGUGAAAUGCGUAGAGAUGUGGAGGAAUACCGAUGGCGAAGGCAGCCCCCUGGGAUAACACUGACGCUCAUGCACGAAAGCGUGGGGAUCAAACAGG